AACGAACGCUGGCGGCAGGCCUAACACAUGCAAGUCGAGCGGACCCUUCGGGGUUAGCGGCGGACGGGUGAGUAACGCGUGGGAAUAUGCCUUUCUCUACGGAAUAGUCCUGGGAAACUGGGGGUAAUACCGUAUACGCCCUUUGGGGGAAAGAUUUAUCGGGGAAGGAUUAGCCCGCGUUGGAUUAGGUAGUUGGUGGGGUAAUGGCCUACCAAGCCGACGAUCCAUAGCUGGUUUGAGAGGAUGAUCAGCCACACUGGGACUGAGACACGGCCCAGACUCCUACGGGAGGCAGCAGUGGGGAAUCUUAGACAAUGGGGGCAACCCUGAUCUAGCCAUGCCGCGUGAGUGAUGAAGGCCUUAGGGUUGUAAAGCUCUUUCAGCUGGGAAGAUAAUGACGGUACCAGCAGAAGAAGCCCCGGCUAACUCCGUG
rnacentral:rRNA from 1 species